AAAAAAGAGUAAAAUCCAGGUUGAACCAGGCUGACAGGUUGGACCUGUGGUUCCAGUACGGUUCAAGAAACCCUUGAACCUAAAUCGGCCCUACCCUCUUCCAGUCCUGGUUCAAUCCAGUUCCAAGAAUCAUUGACCCAUUGCAGUCUUGGUUUUGACCAGGCUGGUUCUGGUCCAAUAUCGAUCCCAAACCGGACAUUGGCCAUGUCUAACUAUACAUCCCUGCCUUUUUAAAGUGAAUUAAAUUGCCAUAACCAUCUGAUUUCAUUAUAGUUUAGUAUUUUCACUGAAAUAUCUUAUGCAUUUGUCCCUAAUGUUUUAUUGUGAACAAUAUUUUAGUCCUUGAGU
rnacentral:misc_RNA from 1 species